rnacentral:rRNA from 1 species
CUUGACUGUAUCCUGGAAUUGGGUUCGGGCUUUUCUUGCGCAGUCUAGGUGGGAGGCUAUGAAGAUUUCCUUCCGGGGAAGUUGGAGCCAUCAGUGAGAGACCACUCUGGAGAGGCUAGAAUCCUAAUGGUGAUCCUUGAAUCAGGACACUUGACAGUUUCAGGGGGGCAGUUUUUCUGGGGCGGAAGCCUCAUAAAGGGUAACUGAGGCGCGCAAAGGUCCCCUCAGUCUGGACGGAAAUCAGACAACGAGUGCAAAGGCAAAAGGGGGCUUGACUGCAAGACCUACAAGGCGAGCAGGAGCGAAAGCUGGCCUUAGUGAUCCGACGGUACCGCGUGGAAGGGCCGUCGCUCAACGAAUAAAAGUUA